CUACACAUGCAGUCGAGCGGUAGAGAGAAGCUUGCUUCUCUUGAGAGCGGCGGACGGGUGAGUAAUGCCUAGGAAUCUGCCUGGUAGUGGGGGAUAACGUUCGGAAACGGACGCUAAUACCGCAUACGUCCUACGGGAGAAAGCAGGGGACCUUCGGGCCUUGCGCUAUCAGAUGAGCCUAGGUCGGAUUAGCUAGUUGGUGAGGUAAUGGCUCACCAAGGCRACGAUCCGUAACUGGUCUGAGAGGAUGAUCAGUCACACUGGAACUGAGACACGGUCCAGACUCCUACGGGAGGCAGCAGUGGGGAAUAUUGGACAAUGGGCGAAAGCCUGAUCCAGCCAUGCCGCGUGUGUGAAGAAGGUCUUCGGAUUGUAAAGCACUUUAAGUUGGGAGGAAGGGCAUUAACCUAAUACGUUAGUGUUUUGACGUUACCGACAGAAUAAGCACCGGCUAACUCUGUGCCAGCAGCCGCGGUAAUACAGAGGGUGCAAGCGUUAAUCGGAAUUACUGGGCGUAAAGCGCGCGUAGGUGGUUUGUUAAGUUGGAUGUGAAAUCCCCGGGCUCAACCUGGGAACUGCAUUCAAAACUGACUGACUAGAGUAUGGUAGAGGGUGGUGGAAUUUCCUGUGUAGCGGUGAAAUGCGUAGAUAUAGGAAGGAACACCAGUGGCGAAGGCGACCACCUGGACUAAUACUGACACUGAGGUGCGAAAGCGUGGGGAGCAAACAGGAUUAGAUACMCUGGUAGUCCACGCCGUAAACGAUGUCAACUAGCCGUUGGAAGCCUUGAGCUUUUAGUGGCGCAGCUAACGCAUUAAGUUGACCGC
rnacentral:rRNA from 1 species